GUUCCCAGCACGCGCGGUCUCUCUACAUGGGGUUCCCAAGCAGGCGAGGCGCACGGGGCCCCGAAGACCGUCGGCGGAGUCGAGCCGCGGAGGGAUGCGCGGCCCGGGGCGGGAGCGCCCAGCGACGCCUCCGAGAACCAGGCGCCGCGUCGCCUUCAGCCCGAGACCAAAGGGCCGGGGUGCGAAUCCCCCGCUCUCGGGCCAUUUGCUCCCUGCAAGCCCCGCAGUGAGUGGCUGCUCCGCUCUGCACCUCGGUGCCUCGUGUAGAGGGAAGGUGACCGCGCUCAGCGCCGCUGGAACGAGAUGAAAGCCCGCGGCGCACCUGGGGCGCUUCCGGACGCCCGGCAAGUGGUGACGUCAUCGUUUUUGCCUCCGCCGCACCCCCCGCAACUGAAUCCGAGAAAUAUUUCAUAGAUUCUGAGCAAGCGUGGAACCAUCCAUCGGCUGUUCUUCCAGGCAGUAUCUUACAGCACAUGAAGUAAAGAAGAAAUAACUAAGUCGGAGGAAACAUCAACAGCCCCAGAUCAGGACAGAUGAGAAGCAGACGGCAGCAUGUCUGACAUGAAGGAAUAAAACUCGGAGAUUCCUGAAUUCUAGCCUCUCAAUUUCCCUAAACUCCAAGCUUGAUCCUCCUGGGAAAAUCCUCUCGAUUUAUCUCUUCUGGGCCUCACUUUCAAUAUCUUUAAAAAUAAAAGCUAUUCAUACCUUUCA